UACGUAGGGUGCGAGCGUUGUCCGGAAUUAUUGGGCGUAAAGGGCUCGUAGGCGGUCUGUCGCGUCGGGAGUGAAAACUCAGGGCUUAACCCUGAGCCUGCUUCCGAUACGGGCAGACUAGAGGUAUGCAGGGGAGAACGGAAUUCCUGGUGUAGCGGUGAAAUGCGCAGAUAUCAGGAGGAACACCGGUGGCGAAGGCGGUUCUCUGGGCCUUACCUGACGCUGAGGAGCGAAAGCGUGGGGAGCAAACGGG
rnacentral:rRNA from 1 species